rnacentral:rRNA from 1 species
GAUGAACGCUGGCGGCGUGCCUAAUACAUGCAAGUCGAGCGAACAGACGAGGAGCUUGCUUCUCUGACGUUAGCGGCGGACGGGUGAGUAACACGUGGAUAACCUACCUAUAAGACUGGGAUAACUUCGGGAAACCGGAGCCAAUACCGGAUCAUAUAUUGAACCGCAUGGUUCAAUAGUGAAAGACGGCUUUGCUGUCACUUAUAGAUGAUUCCGCGCCGCAUUAGCUAGUUGGUAAGGUAACGGCUUACCAAGGCAACGAUGCGUAGCCGACCUGAGAGGGUGAUCGGCCACACUGGAACUGAGACACGGUCCAGACUCCUACGGGAGGCAGCAGUAGGGAAUCUUCCGCAAUGGGCGAAAGCCUGACGGAGCAACGCCGCGUGAGUGAUGAAGGUCUUCGGAUCGUAAAACUCUGUUAUUAGGGAAGAACAAAUGUGUAAGUAACUAUGCACGUCUUGACGGUACCUAAUCAGAAAGCCACGGCUAACUACGU